rnacentral:rRNA from 1 species
UCACACCCGUUCCCAUACCGAACACGGAAGUUAAGCUUCUCAGCGCCGAUGGUAGUUGGGACCUUGUCCCUGUGAGAGUAGGACGUUGCCAGGC